ensembl:lncRNA
CCGUGUAUGUAUUUGUCUGUUGUGUGUAGUUGAGAUAGGGUUGUGUGUGGAGGCACUCACUUUUAAUUCAAGCACUGGGGAGGCAGAGGCAGACUGAUCUCUGUGUUCAAGGCUAGUUCCAGGACAGUCAAUGCCACACCGAGAAACCCCAACUCAAACAAAAAAAAAUAAAAUAAAAUAAAAAAUAAAAAGAGGGUAUAUUACUAUGUAGCCUUGACUGAGCCAGAACUUGCUAUGUAGUCCAUGCUUGGCUCAGAUUCAUAUAGAUUCUACCUGAUUCCACCUCCCAAAUGCUAGAAUUGAAGGUGUGUGUGUGUGACACAUAAAGAAGAAUGAAAUCCUGUCAUUUGCAUCAGUAAGGAUGACUGAGGUGUCAUGUUAUAUGAUAUACCAUGUUUUCCUUCAUAUAUGGAAGGCUACAUAAAAAGAAAAGUCAACCUGAAAGUAGAAUAGGGAUUAUUAGAAGUUUGGUGAUAGGGAGGGUAGAAAGGGGUAAUUGGAAUUGAUCAGUGUGUGCAUAUAAGAAAAAUCACACUUAAACCCACUAGUAUGAAUGAUCUAUGUGCUACAUUUUAAAGUAAGUAAUAAAUAAGAUAAAACCCACAAAGGCAUCUGGCCAUAACUGAUUUAUAUAAGGAAUCCUUGCACUUGUAAAUGCAGAUGCUAACAAUACCCCCUAGCAUACAGUAACUGAUUAGUAAAUGCAAAGUAAAUAAAAUGUGGUGAAAGAAAACAAUGCCUCCCAAAAGUAGUCUAGGCCACUGAUUCACUAUCCCUGGGACAACAUUUUAUGCCAACUUAAAUUUUCACAAGAAAUAUUCAGGAGAAUGCGUGGUGUAAAUAGAACUGUGUAGGGGAUUCAUCAUGUUGAUAAACACUGUGUGUCAUAUAUUUGGAGAUGCCAUAGCAAACAAAAAUGAACCACUGGAGUAGAGUCAAGCAUGGCUAGCCAGGAGCUGCAGACUGUGUGCAGAGCAGAGAGGAACCAUGGGAGUCUGGGGAUUUACCAUAGGCUCCCAGCCACUGGGACUGUUAUCUUUGGCUUCGUAUUUAGUUCUGAAUGUCCAGAAAUGUCACCUGGAAAAUAAGAACUUUCUAUAGUUCCACAUGUUGAUUUUUAAAACCAUCAACUGUUAAUAUAUUGGGGUUUGGAUGCUUGAUUGCUUUCAUAUUUUUUGAGACCGAGUCUCUAUAUAGCCCAGACCAGCCUAGAAACCCCUGUGGUCCUCCUCCUUUGGCCUUCUGAGAACUGGGACUGCAGGCAGCGUGGUCUCCUCUCCAGGACAUACACGCACAUACAAUAUUAAAGUGUCAGAGAAGAGACUUAACAAAAGCCCAGCCUAACCCAAGCAGGAGGGGUGCAAAACAGCAAGUGUGAAGAAGAGACUUAACAAAAGCCCAGCCUAACCCAAGCAGGAGGGGUGCAAAACAGCGAGUGUGAAGCUGUGUCCUCUCGUCUUCCAACUUGCUGAGAAAGGGAUAGAUGGACACAGAAGCUAUCUCUUGACAGGGUCACAGCCUCUGGUUUCCAGCCCCAGCAUCCAAAGGCUAUGAAAGACUUGUAACUCAGUUACAAACCUUGCCCUCCACUGAUGGGAGGUUAUUUUUAGUCUUGAUGCUAUGCGAUAUGAAUAUUCAUGGGUUUGGGUUUGUCUGCAGCAAUAUUAAUAUGUUGUUGAUACCAUGCCUCUCCAGGCACGGGGAGGGGGGGUGCAGCAAUACGAUAGACAUGCUGCAUUACCUAUGUUGUUGAUACCAUGCCUCUCCAGGCGCGUGGGGGGGGGCAGCAAUAUGAUAGACCAGCUGGAUUACCUAUGUUGUUGAUACCACGCCUCUCCAGGCGCCAGUGGGGGUGGUAGCAAUAUGAUAUACAUGCUGGAUUACCUUCCUACAACCCCCAAAAUUCCAAACUCUGGAUAUAUUGAGGUUUUGAGACAAAGGAUUACAGAUCUAUAUUUCAGGAAGUCCCCAGUAAUAGUAAUCCCUUUUAAAGAUAUUAGGUUAUAAUCAGAGAUGUUAAAUAACUACUCAAGAGCACACGGUCAACAGCAAACUGCAAAGACUGACAGAACAAAGUAUGUAGCUUAUGACUUAUGGUAGGCCGGAUGUAGCAAUGACUGGAGCUGAUUUUACCUUACGGGCUGGGACUUGGGUGUGAGGGCUCAUGAACAUGCACAUGGAAACCAGAGGUCACCUUGCCUGGCUGGAUGUCCAGUCCAUGGGUCCUUCCUGUCUCUGCCUCAUAACCUUCAGGACUGCAAACCCAUGCCAUCAUGCCCAACUUUUUGUUUUAAUUAUUUGGUUUCUGGGAUUGAAUUUAUGUUUGCACAGCAAACACUUUACUGACUGAGCUAUCUCUAAAGCCAAGGGCUGGCACUAUUUAAUAGACUGAAAAUUAUUUACAACAAAAAAAAAGAGGUCUUGUCACUGGCUAGGCCAUGCUGUUGGGAUUUCAGGCCAGCUUUUUCUGAGAGGCCUUCCUAUCUGCACUCUCAAAGAAACCGAACCCUCUGAAUUCAAGGAGAAGCUGUUUCUUCUUGUCCUUCAAAAGCAAUUGAAAAGUAGGAGUUGCCUUUUAAAAAAAAAAAAAAAAAAAGGAAAGAAAAAAAGCCUACUAGACAAAUGAAAACAAAUCAUUUUUGCAUAUCAAUCAGGUGCCUGAUUGAAACUGCGCUUGCUGCCUCGAGAGAAGAAUAUUAAAAGCAGAUCACUGCUAAUUUAAGCACAACUAAUUUAAAAGACAUACCUAGAAACAGACACAUGGAGAAUCUCUUAAACCCUAUCUACCACCCGCUUUGUUUGGGUUGGGAAGUCCCAACAAAACACUGCUUCAACUCAACUCUUUCCCAUCUUUCAAAAACAAGUUUUAUUAUAUUUCACUUAUUUGGUGUGUGUGUGUGUGUGUGUGUGUGUGUGUGUGUGUGUGUGUGUGUGUGUGUGUGUCAGAGA